CCUACGGGUGGCAGCAGUGAGGAAUAUUGGUCAAUGGCCGCAGGGCUGAACCAGCCAAGUCGCGUGAGGGAUGACGGUCCUAUGGAUUGUAAACCUCUUUUGUCAGGGAGCAAAGUGCGCCACGUGUGGCGUUUUGCGAGUACCUGAAGAAAAAGCAUCGGCUAACUCCGUGCCAGCAGCCGCGGUAGUACGGAGGAUGCGAGCGUUAUCCGGAUUUAUUGGGUUUAAAGGGUGCGAAGGGGGAUUGUAAAGUCAGUGGUAAAAUUUCGGGGCUCAACCCCGUCGUGCAGUUGAAACUGGCAUUCUUGAGUGAGCUAGAGGUAUGCGGAAUGCGUGGUGUAGCGGUGAAAUGCAUAGAUAUCACGAAGAACUCCGAUUGCGAAGGCAGCAUACCG
rnacentral:rRNA from 1 species